AGGCAUCCGGCGCGCUCCUCCCUCCCUGCAGCCCUGGGCAGCAUCUCCUAGAGGCUCCGCGGCCCAGGCUCCUGGCGCGUCUGCCGUGCAGGUGGCUCCUGGAAGACCCUCAGCCUGCCUGCUGAGGCCAUGUCGGACUACGAGAACGAUGACGAGUGCUGGAGCAUCCUGGAGGGCUUCCGGGUGACGCUUACCUCGGUCAUCGACCCCUCGCGCAUCACGCCCUACCUGCGGCAGUGCAAGGUCCUGAACCCUGAUGAUGAGGAGCAGGUGCUCAGUGACCCCAACCUGGUCAUCCGCAAACGGAAAGUGGGGGUGCUCCUGGACAUCCUGCAGCGGACCGGCCACAAGGGCUACGUGGCCUUCCUCGAGAGCCUGGAGCUCUACUACCCGCAGCUGUACAAGAAAGUCACGGGCAAGGAGCCAGCCCGCGUCUUCUCCAUGAUCAUCGACGCGUCCGGGGAGUCAGGCCUGACUCAGCUGCUGAUGACUGAGGUCAUGAAGCUGCAGAAGAAGGUGCACGACCUGACGGCGCUGCUGAGCUCCAAGGAUGACUUCAUCAAGGAGCUGCGGGUGAAGGACAGCCUGCUGCGCAAGCACCAGGAGCGCGUGCAGAGGCUCAAGGAGGAGUGCGAGGCUGGCAGCCGCGAGCUCAAGCGCUGCAAGGAGGAGAACUACGACCUGGCCAUGCGCCUGGCGCACCAGAGUGAGGAGAAAGGCGCCGCGCUCAUGCGGAACCGCGACCUGCAGCUGGAGAUUGACCGACUCAAGCACAGCCUCAUGAAGGCAGAGGACGACUGCAAGGUGGAGCGCAAGCACACGCUGAAGCUCAGGCACGCCAUGGAGCAGCAGCCCAGCCAGGAGCUGCUGUGGGAGCUGCAGCGGGAGAAGGCUCUGCUCCAGGCCCGGGUGCAGGAGCUGGAGGCCUCCGUCCAGGAGAGGAAGCUGGACAGGAGCAGCCCCUACAUCCAGGUACUGGAGGAGGACUGGCGGCAGGCGCUGCGGGACCACCAGGAGCAGGCCAACACCAUCUUUUCCCUGCGCAAGGACCUCCGCCAGGGCGAGGCCCGACGCCUCCGGUGCAUGGAGGAGAAGGAGAUGUUCGAGCUGCAGUGCCUGGCCCUGCGUAAGGACUCCAAGAUGUACAAGGACCGCAUCGAGGCCAUCCUGCUGCAGAUGGAGGAGGUCGCCAUUGAGCGGGACCAGAGCACACAAAGGGAGGGGCUGUGACCAGCCUCUGCGCCCAGCUGCUUGACGUCCUCCGGGGCCUCUGCUCGGAGUUGGGCGGCCGAGCCGAGGGCCCAGGGCGAGCUUGGGGGCCUCACUGAGGGUCGGCCUUGCGCUGUCCGUCAGGCCAUCGCCACACGGGAGGAGCUGCACGCGCAGCACGCCCGGGGCCUGCAGGAGAAGGACGCGCUGCGCAAGCAGGUGCGGGAGCUGGGUGAGAAGGCGGAUGAGCUGCAGCUGCAGGUGUUCCAGUGUGAGGCGCAGCUACUGGCCGUGGAGGGCAGGCUCAGGCGGCAGCAGCUGGAGACGCUCGUCCUGAGCUCCGACCUGGAGGAUGGCUCACCCAGGAGCUCCCAGGAGCUCUCACUCCCCCAGGACCUGGAGGACACCCAGCUCUCAGACAAAGGCUGCCUUGCCGGCGGGGGGAGCCCGAAACAGCCCUUGACAGCUCUGCACCAGGAGCAGGUUUUGCGGACCCCCCACGUAAGGCUCUCCUGGGGUGGGGUCCUCCCAGCCGUGGGCCUCAGGGUGACCGAUCACAGGGAGGGUGGCUCCUCGCCCUGGGCACCCCCUGCGGCGGCCCCGACGACAGCCGAGGGGUGACCACAAGGUCUCUGCCCUCAGUGCUCGGGGUGCGGUGUCUGGGCUGCGAAGUGGAUCCCCCUCCUUUCUUGGGCACUGCAGCAGCUUGGGGGGGGCUUUUUGGAAGUGGACGUGCCUGGUCCUGGUUUCCUGAGAGGGCCUUUACAGUGGAUGAGGAGGUGAACACAGGAGUCCUGAGCAAGGACUACCUCGGGCUUUGUUGUAGAAACAAUGGCCUGGAGCCCAGGCCGGAGCGGUGGCUUGGCCUCCUGGGUGUGUCUUGGCAUCUGAUAUGCAGGCUACCCACACCGGCUCACCUCCAGGGGUACAGGCAGGUCCCACAGGGCGAGCCUGGCGCUGAGCUGAGGCUGUCUGGGCUCCUCGCCUCCUCACCAGUCUGCAGUUACAGGGGCCAGUGGGGGGCGCGUGAGAAGGGCGGGUUCCCUCAGGGGAGCCGGCCGGAGCCUGAGCCUUCCCCCUUCUCCAGGACGCAGGCCUGAGCAGCGGGGAGCCGCCCGAGAAGGAGCGGCGGCGCCUCAAAGAGAGUUUUGAGAACUACCGCAGGUAGGCGGGCGGCCCCCAGCCUUCUCCAAAACGGAACCCGGUCUGCGCCUGAGACACCUGUGUCUUCGCAGGAAGCGAGCUCUCAGGAAGAUGCAGAAAGGAUGGCGGCAGGGGGAGGAAGACCGGGAGAACACCACGGGCAGCGACAACACCGACACUGAGGGCUCCUAGCCACAGCAGCGCAGGCCCCGACCAGGGCACACCCACCGGCCCGGCCUCCUGCCACCCGGGGGUGCCGACGCCCUGGGGCGCAGACUUCCCCGAGCCGUCGCUCACUUAGCCUGGAACGAGGAAUCUGGUGCCCUGAAAGGCCCAGCCGGACCGCCGGGCGUUGGGGCUUUUAAGCGGCACUCAGCUUGCGGAGGCCAUGCGGGUGCUCGCCACCCCCAUGCACACGCCAUCUGUGUAACUUCAGGGUCUGUUCUGUUUCACUAUGUAACACACAGUACAUGCAUGCAUUGUAGAAGUGUCAAAAAACAUAGCUGCGUAAAUAAAUAAACAGCACGGGUGACCCGCAUUCCCGCUCGGACACUCGCGCGCAGCCCCGCGGCCGUCCCUCCUCGCUGCGGCCCGCGGUGUCCUGGGAGUGCAAGCUGCACGUGGACGCAGGGCCCCAUCAGGCCGCCAGGGGGCGGCAGAGCGCAGCGCGCCCCCGGCCCGGACGACGGAAGCCCAAGAACGCCGCUUCCGCCCGGUGCCCACUUCCAAGAUGGCGGCGGGGCGGGGCCAGAGCAGGGCGGACGGAGCCGGCGAGCGGGAUGCUGCGGGCUGCGCUGGGCGGCGCGCCGAGGUUGCUGAGCCGCGUGCAGCCCCGGGGGCCCUGCCUGAGGCGGCUGUGGGGCCGCGGGGCCCGUCCAGAGGUCGCAGGGAGGCGGCGGGCCUGGGCCUGGGGCUGGCGGCGCUCAAGCUCCGAGCAGGGGCCGGGGCCCGCGGCGGCUCUGGGGCGCGUGGAGGCGGCGUACUACCAGCUCGUUUACACCUGCAAGGUAGGCGCGCGGCGGGACGGAACCGGGGACAGACCCGCAUCUGACGCUACACGGCUUGUGGGGACAAGCUGCCCGCCGGGGAUUCGGGAGGGGGCGUGGUCAAGUCACAGGAAGGAGUGGAGCCACCCCUUGGGGCUUCUGGGAGGGAGCGGAAGCAGACCAUGAGGAGGGGUGGAACCGUCCCUGGGGCGGGGCCUUCCUGGGAGAGGGCGAGAUUCAGGGUGGGUGGAGCUAUCCCUCGGGGGCGGGGCCUUCCCUGGAGAGGGUGAGGUGGGUGGAGCUACCCCUAGAGGGGCGGGUCUUCCCGGGAGGGGCGUGGCGGCCCUCACAGCCUCACCAGCUACCCUGUCCCAGCCAGGUCUGCGGGACUAGGUCCUCCAAGCGCAUCUCCAAGCUGGCCUAUCACCAAGGCGUGGUCAUUGUGACCUGCCCCGGCUGCCAGAACCACCAUAUCAUCGCGGACAACCUGGGCUGGUUCUCGGACCUGAAUGGGAAGAGAAAUAUCGAAGAGAUCCUGGCGGCCAGAGGCGAGCAGGUGCACCGCGUGGCGGGCGAGGGGGCCCUGGAACUGGUUCUGGAGGCUACAAGGGCCCCCACAUCCACUGCAGCUCCGGAAGCGGGUGAGGAUGAGGGUCCCCCCAGCCCUGGCAAGAUGGAGCCGAGCUGACCCCUGCGCUCCCCGGCACUGUGGGACUUCUGCCUUCCAGAAGGAUGCUUUGGCCCUGGGCCUCUCUGGACAUGGUCUGUUUUCUAUCAAUAAACAGACAUUACUUCCA
rnacentral:sRNA from 1 species